CUGACCAGAAUUGAACCCCGGACCCCUCAGUCCGCAGGCCAACAUUCUGAGCCAAACUGGUCAGGCCAAGAUUUGUGAUUUUUAAAGUCUAUUCCAGACCCUUGAGAUACUAUAUUUCCAACAUUGGAGUUCCUGGGUUUCUAUUAAAUUAAGCAAUUUUCCUUGCUCUUGAACAUUUUCUAGAGUCGAGUUGUCCAGUAUGGUAGCCAGAAGCCAUAUGUGGCUAUUGAGCACCUGAAUGUAGUUAGUCCAAACGAAGAUGUGCUGUAAGUGUGAAAUAUACACUAGGUUUCCAGAAUUAGUAUGAAAAAUAUGUUAAAUACCUCAGUAAUAAUUUUUUUAAAUAUUGAUUUCGGAGAGGAAGGGGGAGAGAGAGAGAAACAUCAAUAAUGAGAAGGAAUCCUUGAUUAGCUGCUGCCUACAUGCCCCACCCUGGGGAUCAAGACUGAAACCAGACCAAAAUGUGCCCAGACCAAAAAUCGAACCUUGACCUCCUAGUUCAUAGGUGGAGGCUCAACCAUUGCACCACACCAGCCAGACAAUAAUUUUUGUAUUGAUUAUAUGUUGAAAUGAUCAAAUUUUUGAAUUAUGAGGUUAAAUAAAAAUAUUAAAUUUAAGUUCAUGUGUUUCUUUUUACUAUUUUGUAGGGUGGUUACUAGACAAUUUUAAUUUACAGGUGUGACUUAGCAUUUGUAUGGUUGGACAUUGCUGUUCUAGACCAACAUGAAGCCCCUAUCUUUGAGUUUGGUGGCUGGUAAUACCAAUUAGGUGGUAACUUCCAGCUGCCAUCCUAACUUCCCCAAGUUAAAUCAAGGCUUAACCUCAGACAUUGGAACCUUUUUUAAAAAAAUGUUACUAACAUUUAACACCUACCAUUUAAUCUUUAACACAGUAUUGAGUUUGAACCCAGACCAUGGAAAUAUGGUAUAGAUGUGUCUAAUUAAGUUAGAUUUGAUCACAGCUUUCCAUAUUUUGUAAAGAGAGAAACUGGGAAGUCCAAUAUGUUAGGAAUGACUCUGGAAAAAAUUUAGACCCCAAACAAAACUUCCACAAGUAAUUUUUCACUACCACUGUGCAGCAGACAGGACGGCAGUAAGAGAAGACUUGAACGAAUGAAAAGGUAACCACAACCAGCACUACUUAUAACCUUGUAAAUAUGUUUUCUCAUUUUUAAAUAUGCUCUUAUUACCCUUAAAAAGAACAGAUGAUUUUUUUUGGUGGCAUUUAAUGAACAGAAUUAAUGUAUUGCAAAAAAUGGUCAAAAUGGUACACUUUAUGUCAUAUUUCACCACAAUAUUUUGAAAAGCUUAAAGGCAUUUGUUGAGUUUAGGAUCCUCUCUAAUUAUCUUAGAAAGAACCUGGUAUGGAUUCGUGUGUGGUACUAAUCAGUAACACACUCAUACAACAGAUAAUGAAAAAUGUUUGCAAUCCAUACAUCAAAAGGCCGAUUUCCCUAAUAAACAGUGUCUAUAAAUAAAUGAGAAAAAACAAACAGACCAAUAGAAAAAUAAGCAAAUGCUAUGAACAUGGUUUUCAGAAAAGGAAAUACAAAAGGUUUCUAAAAUGUGGAAACAUUUAUAGUUUGAGACUGUUGGGACAUAAAUUAUAUAGAGAAUACAUGACUUUAAGUAAAGAGUUGCAAUGAGUGCCCCUCGGAUGCAAAGGUGACUUUUAUCGUUCCUUGAUAGUUUAACUUCUGCUUCCCUCCCUUCUAGCCAAGGCUGAGUUUCCCCAGCUUCAUUGACCAGAGAAGCAAGGGGUUUUCGUGUGUGGAAGCCAUGAGUACCUUUCAAGCUCAGGGUAAAAUCUCUCUCAUUCAACCCGUGUAAUCUUUGGCUUACUGGCAUUACCUUACUUUCCCCUAGAAAUCCCCCGAAUCAGCCUCUUAAAAGCAAGUACAGUGACCUUUCUGCACACAUUCGUCCAUUCCUGUUUUUAAUGCCUGUUUAUUAGCCAGUAAUCUGAAUCUCUGAAACCACCACUUGAUUCUGGUUUUUCCUUCAAGUUUUCUAUUCUCUUAAAGCUUCAAGCAGAAUUUAUUGUACGGUUCAUAUGGAAUGUCAGAGUAUAUGAUGGAGUAAAUGGUGUUAGGUUAGAACCACACAUACAUUAUGCCAUUUAUAUUAUAUACUGUGGGUUCAUACUUGGAUUCAGUAGUUCCUUUCUACAGAUUUACUUUUGGAAAAUGGUCAGAUUUGUGACUAGAGAUAUAUUUACCAGCAUGAUCAUUGUGAAGUUACAUAUUAGACUUUAAAAAGAAACAAAGUAAAAAACCAAACAACAUCCCCUCAGUUAUAGGAUUAAAGGAUUGCUUGUAUGGUUGCAAUCAUUAAACAUCCAGGUAGCUUUAUUUAUAUUAAUAUGAAAAGUUGUCCAUAAUAUUAAA